GCGAUAAGCGUCGGUAAGGUGAUAUGAACCGUUAUAACCGGCGAUUUCCGAAUGGGGAAACCCAGUGUGAUUCGUCACACUAUCAUUAACUGAAUCCAUAGGUUAAUGAGGCGAACCGGGGGAACUGAAACAUCUAAGUACCCCGAGGAAAAGAAAUCAACCGAGAUUCCCCCAGUAGCGGCGAGCGAACGGGGAGCAGCCCAGAGCCUGAAUCAGUGUGUGUGUUAGUGGAAGCGUCUGGAAAGGCGUGCGAUACAGGGUGACAGCCCCGUACACAAAAAUGCACAUACUGUGAGCUCGAUGAGUAGGGCGGGACACGUGGUAUCCUGUCUGAAUAUGGGGGGACCAUCCUCCAAGGCUAAAUACUCCUGACUGACCGAUAGUGAACCAGUACCGUGAGGGAAAGGCGAAAAGAACCCCGGCGAGGGGAGUGAAAAAGAACCUGAAACCGUGUACGUACAAGCAGUGGGAGCACGCUUAGGCGUGUGACUGCGUACCUUUUGUAUAAUGGGUCAGCGACUUAUAUUCUGUAGCAAGGUUAACCGAAUAGGGGAGCCGAAGGGAAACCGAGUCUUAACUGGGCGUUAAGUUGCAGGGUAUAGACCCGAAACCCGGUGAUCUAGCCAUGGGCAGGUUGAAGGUUGGGUAACACUAACUGGAGGACCGAACCGACUAAUGUUGAAAAAUUAGCGGAUGACUUGUGGCUGGGGGUGAAAGGCCAAUCAAACCGGGAGAUAGCUGGUUCUCCCCGAAAGCUAUUUAGGUAGCGCCUCGUGAAUUCAUCUCCGGGGGUAGAGCACUGUUUCGGCAAGGGGGUCAUCCCGACUUACCAACCCGAUGCAAACUGCGAAUACCGGAGAAUGUUAUUACGGGAGACACACGGCGGGUGCUAACGUCCGUCGUGAAGAGGGAAACAACCCAGACCGCCAGCUAAGGUCCCAAAGUCAUGGUUAAGUGGGAAACGAUGUGGGAAGGCCCAGACAGCCAGGAUGUUGGCUUAGAAGCAGCCAUCAUUUAAAGAAAGCGUAAUAGCUCACUGGUCGAGUCGGCCUGCGCGGAAGAUGUAACGGGGCUAAACCAUGCACCGAAGCUGCGGCAGCGACGCUUAUGCGUUGUUGGGUAGGGGAGCGUUCUGUAAGCCUGUGAAGGUGUGCUGUGAGGUAUGCUGGAGGUAUCAGAAGUGCGAAUGCUGACAUAAGUAACGAUAAAGCGGGUGAAAAGCCCGCUCGCCGGAAGACCAAGGGUUCCUGUCCAACGUUAAUCGGGGCAGGGUGAGUCGACCCCUAAGGCGAGGCCGAAAGGCGUAGUCGAUGGGAAACAGGUUAAUAUUCCUGUACUUGGUGUUACUGCGAAGGGGGGACGGAGAAGGCUAUGUUGGCCGGGCGACGGUUGUCCCGGUUUAAGCGUGUAGGCUGGUUUUCCAGGCAAAUCCGGAAAAUCAAGGCCGAGGCGUGAUGACGAGGCACUACGGUGCUGAAGCAACAAAUGCCCUGCUUCCAGGAAAAGCCUCUAAGCAUCAGGUAACAUCAAAUCGUACCCCAAACCGACACAGGUGGUCAGGUAGAGAAUACCAAGGCGCUUGAGAGAACUCGGGUGAAGGAACUAGGCAAAAUGGUGCCGUAACUUCGGGAGAAGGCACGCUGAUACGUAGGUGAAGCGACUUGCUCGUGGAGCUGAAAUCAGUCGAAGAUACCAGCUGGCUGCAACUGUUUAUUAAAAACACAGCACUGUGCAAACACGAAAGUGGACGUAUACGGUGUGACGCCUGCCCGGUGCCGGAAGGUUAAUUGAUGGGGUUAGCGCAAGCGAAGCUCUUGAUCGAAGCCCCGGUAAACGGCGGCCGUAACUAUAACGGUCCUAAGGUAGCGAAAUUCCUUGUCGGGUAAGUUCCGACCUGCACGAAUGGCGUAAUGAUGGCCAGGCUGUCUCCACCCGAGACUCAGUGAAAUUGAACUCGCUGUGAAGAUGCAGUGUACCCGCGGCAAGACGGAAAGACCCCGUGAACCUUUACUAUAGCUUGACACUGAACAUUGAGCCUUGAUGUGUAGGAUAGGUGGGAGGCUUUGAAGUGUGGACGCCAGUCUGCAUGGAGCCGACCUUGAAAUACCACCCUUUAAUGUUUGAUGUUCUAACGUGGACCCGUGAUCCGGGUUGCGGACAGUGUCUGGUGGGUAGUUUGACUGGGGCGGUCUCCUCCUAAAGAGUAACGGAGGAGCACGAAGGUUGGCUAAUCCUGGUCGGACAUCAGGAGGUUAGUGCAAUGGCAUAAGCCAGCUUGACUGCGAGCGUGACGGCGCGAGCAGGUGCGAAAGCAGGUCAUAGUGAUCCGGUGGUUCUGAAUGGAAGGGCCAUCGCUCAACGGAUAAAAGGUACUCCGGGGAUAACAGGCUGAUACCGCCCAAGAGUUCAUAUCGACGGCGGUGUUUGGCACCUCGAUGUCGGCUCAUCACAUCCUGGGGCUGAAGUAGGUCCCAAGGGUAUGGCUGUUCGCCAUUUAAAGUGGUACGCGAGCUGGGUUUAGAACGUCGUGAGACAGUUCGGUCCCUAUCUGCCGUGGGCGCUGGAGAACUGAGGGGGGCUGCUCCUAGUACGAGAGGACCGGAGUGGACGCAUCACUGGUGUUCGGGUUGUCAUGCCAAUGGCACUGCCCGGUAGCUAAAUGCGGAAGAGAUAAGUGCUGAAAGCAUCUAAGCACGAAACUUGCCCCGAGAUGAGUUCUCCCUGACCCUUUAAGGGUCCUGAAGGAACGUUGAAGACGACGACGUUGAUAGGCCGGGUGUGUAAGCGCAGCGAUGCGUUGAGCUAACCGGUACUAAUGAACCGUGAGGCUUAACCUU
rnacentral:rRNA from 1 species